rnacentral:rRNA from 1 species
GCGACAGGCCUAACACAUGCAAGUCGAGGGGUAACAGAAGUAGCUUGCUACUAGAUGACGACCGGCGCACGGGUGAGUAACGCGUAUGCAACCUACCUUAUACUGGGGGAUAGCCCAGAGAAAUCUGGAUUAAUACCGCAUAACAAUUAUCUUUCGCAUGUUAGAUAAUUUAAAACUCCGGUGGUAUAAGAUGGGCAUGCGUAGCAUUAGUUAGUUGGUAAGGUAACGGCUUACCAAGACAAUGAUGCUUAGGGGGUCUGAGAGGAUGAUCCCCCACACUGGUACUGAGACACGGACCAGACUCCUACGGGAGGCAGCAGUGAGGAAUAUUGGUCAAUGGACGCAAGUCUGAACCAGCCAUGUCGCGUGCAGGAUGACGGCCCUAUGGGUUGUAAACUGCUUUUUUACAGGAAUAAUUGCAGAUACGUGUAUUUGUUUGAAUGUACUGUAUGAAUAAGGAUCGGCUAACUCCGUGCCAGCAGCCGCGGUAAUACGGAGGAUUCGAGCGUUAUCCGGAUUUAUUGGGUUUAAAGGGUCCAUAGGCGGUUCUUUAAGUCAGUGGUGAAAUCCCAGAGCUCAACUCUGGAACUGCCAUUGAAACUGAAGAACUUGAAUAUGGUUGAGGUAGGCGGAAUACGUUAUGUAGCGGUGAAAUGCAUAGAUAUAACGUAGAACACCAAUUGCGAAGGCAGCUUACUAAGCCAUUAUUGACGCUGAUGGACGAAAGCGUGGGGAGCGAACAGGAUUAGAUACCCUGCUAGUCCACGCCGUAAACGAUGAUUACUCGUUGUGCACAAUACAUCGUGCGUGACUGAGCGAAAGCAUUAAGUAAUCCACCUGGGGAGUACGUUCGCAAGAAUGAAACUCAAAGGAAUUGACGGGGGGCC